UGCAGUCGAACGCGAAAGUGCCUUCGGGUGCGAGUAGAGUGGCGGACGGGUGAGUAACGCGUGGGAAUCUACCUUGCAGUGGGGGAUAACUCGGGGAAACUCGAGCUAAUACCGCAUACGUCCUACGGGAGAAAGGGGGCCUCUGGCUCCCGCUGCAGGAUGAGCCCGCGUCCGAUUAGCUUGUUGGUGGGGUAACGGCCCACCAAGGCGACGAUCGGUAGCUGGUCUGAGAGGACGACCAGCCACACUGGGACUGAGACACGGCCCAGACUCCUACGGGAGGCAGCAGUGGGGAAUAUUGGACAAUGGGCGAAAGCCUGAUCCAGCAAUGCCGCGUGUGUGAAGAAGGCCUGCGGGUUGUAAAGCACUUUCAGUAGGGAAGAAAAGCUCAGGGUUAAUACCCCUGGGUCUUGACGUUACCUACAGAAGAAGCACCGGCUAACUCCGUGCCAGCGGCCGCGGUAAUACG
rnacentral:rRNA from 1 species